AAAAAUUAAAACAUUAACCACGCGAGCAUAUUAUGAUAUUCACAAUUCUAUAUUAUAUAUAGAGUAUAGAAUAUAUAGUAUAUAUUUUAUAUCAAACAUAAAUAUCUGUGAUAAUAUUAUAAAUGAAAAAAGAACAAUUAUUACAAAAUUUUAUUACCACAUUCAACUUCUUGGUAUAGACGGCGUACCACAAAUAUAAAAAUGUAGUACCUGGUAUCAACCAGACUGUUAGGCCAAUCAGAAUAUGUAGAUAGUGUUGUGCACGGUGUAUAGGAAAUUUCAAAUUUUUAAACCCAGCCUUAUUAUUUAUAAUUUAGUGAUGUCUCACGCACAGUGCGUUGUCCCUAUAAAUAAAGAAAAAAGAAAGGUUUGUGCAUACCCACUACCUUAUUUCUAUUUAAUUUCUAUACUACACACUAUUAUAGUAAUUUAAUAAGUUAAAAUAGUUGACAAUUUGAUAUUUAAUUUUGUUUUAACUUUAAACCUUUAUACCGUUUUCAAAUAUGGAAGUACUGUAAGUAUUAUUUAUUAUUUAACCACUCAAAUUGACAAUACUUAAAUUAUAAAAUCAUUAUUUAAGAGCUAGACGCUCAAUUUAUGAAAAAAUUGAUUGUCUCUAUAUCAAAAACCAUUCAUAAUACUGAAUGACUGAUUAUUGGUUGUGUAAACACAAGAAGUUUGAUUUUUAAAUUGUUUGACAAUAAAAUGCGUAGAUAAUGAUCCUUUAAGAUGUUUUAAAAUAAUUGUAUGCAUUGAUUUUAUGUGAUUUUUUUCCCCUAUACUCUUAUUUCAAAUUUUUCAAAUACUUUUUAAUACCAAUGUAUUAAUUAUAACUAAUAGUUAAUAUUGUAUAGAAAGCCACAGCCUAUGCAGAUUUAUUUAUAGGAGAAAAUAUUGAAGUUAAAUGUAUGUUUUAGGUAGGUAUGUUUCCAAAAGCAAUCGUGUAAAACUUUAUAUUACCUAUAUUUAAAAUGCCGAAAAUGGUUUCAAAUAAUUUUUUUGUUAAAAAAAUAAAAGAAAGUUAUAUAUGAAUUUACAUAAUAAUAUAUAAACUAAAGAAAAUUAAAAUACUGAAUCAUUAGCAUAUUCAGUAAUUUUUGUUUCUAUGUUAACUUGUCUUCAAAACCCUGAUAAACUAAAAAUAUUGCAGGUAUACCUAUGUAGAUAUUGGUAAUUGUAAGCCAUAAUAUAAAUUGAAAUACAAUUUUUACUGAUGAAUAUAUGUAUGAACCAAAAUCUGUUUAAUAUCGACCAAAAAUCGUAUAUAUGCCAAUAUUAAGGUAUGUGAUUAUGGGAUAUUGUUUUUUUUUUUUUAAACCUAUAUUAGACACAAUAUUUUUAAAACAAUUUUUUUGCUUUAAUAAUUCAAAUCAAAGAAUAAUUGUAAAUAAUAAAAGUUUAAAAAAAAAACAUUAACAAUAUUGGUAAAUAUUGAGUAUGUGUUUUUAAUAAAUCAAUUAAUUUCAAUAACUGCUCACAGUUUUUGAUUUCAAAUAUCAGAUCGGUUAUCAGUUAUAUAUUUGUAGUAAAUAUUUCAAUAUUUGAUAUCAGAAAACAGUCAUAUCGGGCUCACUAUUAAAAAUUGUAUUUAUUUAUAUGAGGUAUUCCUAGACAGUUCAAUAAACAGAAUAACUUUAGUUCUGUACAAUAUUUAAACACUUUAUCAUUUUUUAUAAGUAAAGCCCUGCAUUUUGAUUCUCAUAUUUUAUAUUUUUGUUUAAACUAUUAAAAAAAAUUGUUUUUACAAAAUUUAAGAUACCUAGCCAUUUUAUAAAUAGAUUUAUAUUAUAAAUUAUAUUAUUAAUUAAUUAUUUUAUAUUAAUGUAUUUAUAAAAGGCUGGGUAUCUUAGAUUUUGUAAAAACAAUUUUUUUUUUUUAUAGUUUAAACAAAAAUAUAAAAUAUGAGAAUCAAAAUGCAGAGCUUUAGUUAUAAGUAAUAAGUUAUAAACAUAUUGAACAAAAAGGCUUUUGUCAAAUAUUUUUGAAAUAUAACUCAUGCACCUAUUUGUUUAACAUACAUUAUAUUAUUUAUUAUAAAAAUAAUUUGUCCAAGGUCUCUGCGAUUGUACAUUGACAAUUUAACAAAAAAAUUGGAGUUAUACUUGUUAAAAUGUCUUGACAGACCAAACCAUUAUAGCAAUUAUUUUUAUAAUAAUUUGUACGUGGUGCCACAUUCCGAGUUGGAAGUAAGAGAUCAAUCAAUAUUAUUUAUUGAAUUGUAUAAUAUUAUUUUUAAAUUUAUAUUUUAGAAAGGCCAUGAGACUUGCUAGAAUAAAAAUCAAUUGGAUCAGUAUUUAUUUCAAUCUGAAGAUGUAGUUCUUCCAAACAUUCCUACAACUGCUAAUAAUAGUAAUAAAUAUAAUAAGCUUAAAUUAUUCUAUAAUCAAUGAAUAAGCCAUUUCUAAAAUUUACAUUUCACAUUAUACCCUAUUUCAAAAGAGAAUAUACCGCUUUCUUAAUCAAUUUUUAUUUGGUCACGAAAGAGGUAUAUUCUCUUUUAAAACAGGGUAUAGGUAUAAAUUGAUAUUAAUUUAUUAAACGUGUAUUUUAAGUACACUAAAUGUUGAUAUUUCUUUUAAUUUCUAGCCAGAUGAAAAUAAAACUGAUGUGUUAGAAACGAUAAAACAAAUUCCAAAUUAUAUGAAAUCCACAAUUGGUCUUACUAAGUCUCAGCGUAAAAAAUACCGCAAACAAGCAUAUUAGAAUUUCAGUAAUGUUGAUUUGUCUUUUAAUCAAGAUGUAACUAUAAAUGAAGUAAGUAUACACCCUCAAAUAUUAUGCUAACAUUUUGAUUCAUGUUUUGAAAUAAAGUAGCUUUUAACAUUUUAUCAUAAAAUGUUUAUUAAACUAUGAUACAAUGUUCAACUUUUUUAGUUUUUACUAUUUAGUUAACCUUAUAAAAACCUCAUAAUGAAAUUUAUGACAAUUGUUUUCAUUACCACUAGUAAAUUAUACUAGUAAAUUAUUUUGAAACACAUUUUAAUUCAAAUGUGAACUGUGUACUCAAUGUAAACAACUAAAUUUAAGAUAACAUAUAUAUUUACUAGCUAUAGUAGAUAAUAAAAUAAUCUCGCAUUUCAUAAUAUGAAUGUAUAUAAUACAAUAAAACUAAAUUAAAUUAAAUUAAACAUAAAUUUGUACAAACUAAUGGAAUUAAAAUAAUUAGAUUUUAAAAAUGAAUUAUUAAUUUAACAGUAUUGAAGCAUUAACAAAAUGAAUAUCUUAUUAUGCUAUAAUGGUUCUUUACAGAAAUAAUAUUAAUAUAAUUAUGUAUUAUUUGAUAUAUAUAUAUAUUUUUUUUUUACACCCUUUCAUAAAAAAUUGAACAGUCAAACCUAUUUAUAUGUUAAAUUUAUUACUAUUAGAAUACACAUGUAGAACAUAGGUAUUUAUUUAUUUUAUAUUUUCAAUUAUUAUACAAAUUUAUCUCUUUGCCAUGACAAUGAAAAAGUUUUGUAUGUUUUACGCACAUACAUUGCAGAAUGAAGGAAAAGAAGACAUUCUUCUUGCCUUGGUAGAUUUGACCAGUUAAAUUUUCCUUUGACAGGGUUAAAUUCUUAAAAAGAAAUUGUUUCUCUUUAAUACCUACCAUUUUACCUAAUUUAUAUCUAUUUAUAUCUAAUUGAUUUUACUAAGCUCAUUGUUAUCCAUGGUUUAAUUUGUCUUCUAUUUGAUGGGAAAUAAUUAUCCUUCAUUCUUAAAGAAUUCAGAAAUAUCAAAUUCAUUUAAAACUGAAAACCAAUUUUGUUCUGUUAAAAAUGAGAUUAGUAAUCUUUUGUUAAUUAAAGGUUUUUUAUAAUAAUAAAUUUUACUGUACUAUAAUUUUUCUUUUAUGCUUUUCUGUUUAACAAUUAAUAUUAUACUAUAACGAUAAUUGUUAUGAGAUUGAUAUGCAACAAGAAUUAAUUUUUUCAAAUCAGUACCUAUUGUUUCUAUAAAUAUAUGAUCAAUAGUGGAGCUGCAGGAACUGGUGUUUCUAGUGAUAUCAUUAAUUAAUGAAUUUAUCAUUAUUAUUAAUAAUUAAAUUCAAACAUUCCUAUUAAGUAUCAUCUUUACUACUUAACAAUGUAUUAAUAUUAUAUAUUCUGUUACUAUAAUUUUAUUUACUGAAAAAUAUUUGAUAAUAUUUUUGUUAAUUGGGUUUACAAUUCUAAAAAAUCAUUAUUAUGACCUCUGUAAAGUGCUAUUAUUACACAAAUAGUCUCUUUAAAAUUAAUGUUAAAUUAUAAACAAUUACAGUUAUCAAUAACUAUCUUAUUCACAUGGUUAACUUUAUGCUUAGUAUUAACAUACACGACUAAACUACUAUUUUGGUUAAAAUUAUUACUAUAAGUUUUAUAUAAUUUGAAACUUUAAAUAUACUAAAUAUUAAUAUUAGUUAGACAACAUCGGAGCCAGCAUUCAGAUAAGACUAUACAAUCAAUAUAUUAUUAUAUAAUAUUAUCUAACAUAGGUAACCAAAUGAUUGAUUCAAUUUUUUUUUUGAAUUCAUCUUAUGUUAACAUGGAUAAUUGUAAAGCCUUUAUUAUUAAUUAUUAAUGUUUUAAGAGUGUUUAUAUCUAGAAAAGUAUUAUCAUUGAAAUUUUCAUGAUUAUCAAUUAAAUCAUUAAUAGUAUUAUUAAUUUAUAUAAUUUAUAAUUUAACGAUAAUUUUUGUGGUGCCUAUUAUAAAUUAUCCCAAAUUUUUUCAUUCCUAAUUCAAUAAACUCUGGAUUGUUUGUUCUUGUGUACAAUGAUAUCUGAAUUAUUUGUCUCCACAAAUUUAAAUCUUUUAUCAUUUGAUAUUUGUUUUGAUUUACCAAAUAGAACUCUUUCAUAUUUUGUCAACUGGUCAUUGUAUGUCUUUAUAUGUGUAUAUAAUUUGUGUAAAACCAUUAUUAAUAAUUUUAAGUUAUAUAUAAUUGUCGAAAAAAAAAAUAUUUAUUGUUUUGUUAUAGGUGGAAUAAAAAUUAAUUUUAUCGAAAGAAGCAGACAAACAUUUAGAAAAUGUUACUGGUACUUAGCUGGUUAAAAUUAAAGAAAGAAUGAAAUCUUUAAAUACAACUUGUAAUUUAUUAUUAUUAUAUGUAAUCAUAAUGUUAUUAUAUAUAAUCACAUUUAUUACAAACAUUUUUUAAAUUUUAAUAUCAAUGUUGAAUGAUUUUUUUUAAUAAAAAGGAGAGACAUUUUUUUAUUUUAUUCAUAAAUUGUAUUAUAUUAUAGGUUAGUAAUUAUACCUAUAUUAUAAAUUGUUAUAAUAUUUUAACAUUUUUUUGUAAAGGUAUGACUUUAUUAAUCUUAACUAUAAAAUAUUAAUGUUAAAUAAUUUUCCAAUAAAAAGGAC
rnacentral:lncRNA from 1 species